GGGGGAAGAGGUAACUGACCCCAACCCUGACUUAUGUGCUGGACUGGGGAGCACCUGGAUCCCAAGGAAAACAGGCACAAGUGCUGUAGGCACUGUCCUGGGUGUGCUGGGAGAAGCCUGCAGGGCUAGGCUAGAUCUGAAGAGUACAC